UAACAGUAUCAACAAGCCAGAACAUCAGGAGAGCAGGCUUUGUUCUCUUCAGGAAUCUGCUUGGAACUCUCAUGGGAUACAGUUCUGGAGAGAAGAGUGGUCCAGGAGAGGUAGUGGGUUUUCAAGGGUUGCCUCCUCCAAUCUCAAGAACAGACCAUCUCAACAGUUGGGGCUGGGGGGAAAGCAAGGUUGCAGAAGGCACGUGUGGAUGAACAAGGAGUUCGUGGCUUACCUCUCCAAUUAGAAGCUUGUGCACAGGAGGAGGAAGCAGAGUUGUGUGAGGUGGAAGCAAUGUAGAGAUGCUGUCCAAACGUGUAGGAAUGUGGUUAGGAAAACUAAAGACUAUCCGGACCCAAUUCUGAGAAGGAACAUGAAGGGCAGCAGGGAAGGUUUCUACAAGUACAUCAUCAGCAAAAGGAUGGCUAGGGAAAAUGUAUGUCUUCUGAGAAAUGGUAACAGGGACCUGGUCUUAAAGGACAUGGGGAAGGCUGAGACACUGAGUGCCUUCUUUGCCUUGGCCUUCACAGGUCAUUUGCCAUGCUGUUGCUUGCAGCGAGACUGAGCCAAUUGCUCAGCUGGUGGCCCGGCAGAGGAGUUCCAAGAGGAAGACGGGACGGCAAGUGAACUGCCAGAUGAGGCUGAAGAACACGUCCCCAGUCAAGCUGGCGGGAAAGCCCAAAGGAACUUUGAGACAGCCCAGGUCUUUGAGCGUGGCAGAAGAAGGCAGCAAGAGGCCUGUUCCUCGCUUGCCACGAAGCAGAGGAGUGGCGGGUGGCGUGGUGAAACCCACUGUGGAGAGUGCCCGUCUUGCCUUGUCACCAGGUGCCGGGAGUGGACCACCUAAAGAAAUGCCCAUGCAGAGACACGUCACUGUGGUCAACAGGUCAGUGUAUGUGCGUGUGUGAGGUGAAAUGAAGUGUGGUGGACUCUGGAUGGUGCCGUGCCGGCAGUGUGUUUUGGGACGUGGGAAUCGAGGCACCUGCCUUGCAGAAGUUGGACUGUGGGUCAGAAGCCAGGAGGGAGGUGGGUGCCCUUUGCCUUUUGGAUGCUGCCGUCGCCACCCUGUGCUCUUGGCUGCUCCCGUGUCUUCUGGGGAGCAGUGUGGCCAAAGGUGGCCCUCCGAGGGAGGGGGGAGGUUGCUGUUCCCCAGGCGCAGGAGGGGGCUGCUGUGGCCAGUGCAAUGGAGCACGGGAGGAGGUUUGCGUGUAGUGAUGAGCGAUGCUGUGUGUUGAGGGUUGGGGCUGUCUGCAGGUGGCCGCUCUUUACCUCUCCACUUCUCAGUGGCAGCGUUGGUGUUUGGGACCCUUCUUGGGGCGCUGGAAGUCAGCAGCUGCCUGCCUGUGUCUGAGUGAAAGAGGCGAGGGCUGGAGCUGCCUUUGUGCUGGGUUAGCGGUACAUGCUGCUUUCAGCCCCUUUGAGCCUCUCUAAUCCGGGGGGCUUAUCCAGUGCUGCCCCAUCAGCUCUCUGCUGUGUUGUUCUGGGCCUCCCAGGGCCAUCAGCUGACGGUGGUGAGAACGCGUUUGCUGCUCCCCCAUUGUGGCUGCGCUGAGUGCGCUGGAGCCGUGAUUGUGGCAGUAAUCCUGUGCCGGUCACCGGGCUGGGUUGUGAGCCAGCCUCCAGCUUUGCCUUGAAUGGGAACCACGGUGGAGCUGUGCAGGGGCACGGAGCAGAGGGAUGGGUUAAUCCUGCCGCGGUGCCGCUUGUUCUGGAACACCCCCAAAAAGCAGACGUGUCCUGUGCCCGUUGCCUGCAUGUACCCUGUGUGUGCCAGGGCUCUGGGUGCCGGGGGGCAGAUGAGGAUGUGCUCAGAGCUCUCGUGGGAGCAGCAGCCACGUCAGGUUUCGGUUUAUUGUUGGCUGGUAGCGCUGCCUCGUACCCUCCUGCUGCUCCCCCGAUUGCCCUUUGCUGUGGCU